CUCCCUGUCUAGAGUUCUGCAUCUUUAGGAAAUGCAAAACUCUCGUUUGUAGAUUGUUUUGUUCAGAACAAAAAUUCAUCAUCAGACUAAUAUUUCUGAAGUGCGCAGAGACGCCGUGUGGCUUUAAUUAGAGUUUCACAUCAUCUUCAUUAUGACACUGUCAGAUGAACAUUAGCAGAACAACUCUAAAACAUGAUGUUCUCAAAGCUGACGAUAAACUCUUGUGUGUGCGUCUCUGUCUGUGUAUAAGUGUGUGUUCUGUGCGUGUGUGGUCUGUGUGUGUAUGAGUGUGUCUUCUAUGCAUGUGUGUGUGUCUGUGUAUGAGUGUGUGCUCUGUGCGUGUGUGUCUGUGUGUGUGUUCUGUGCGUGUGUGUCUGUGUGUAUGAGUGUGUUCCGUGCAUGUGUGUUCUGUGCAUGUGUGUAUGAGUGUGUGCUCUGUGCAUGUGUGUGUGUCUGUGUGUAUAUGAGUGUGUUCUGUGCGUGUGUGUCCCUUGUGUGUAUGUCUGUGUGUGCUCUGUGCGUGUAUGAGUGUGUGUUCUGUGCGUGUGUGUAUGAGUGUGUGUUCUGUGCAUGUAUGAGUGUGUGUUCUGUGCAUGUGUGUCUGUGUGUGUAUGAGUGUGUGUUCUGUGCGUGUGUGUCUGUGUGUAUGAGUGUGUUCUGUGUAUGUAUAAGUGUGUGUUCCAUGCGUGUGUGUCUGUGUGUGUAUGAGUGUGUGUUCUGUGCAUGUGUGUC
rnacentral:lncRNA from 1 species